CCUACGGGUGGCAGCAGUGAGGAAUAUUGGUCAAUGGGCGUAAGCCUGAACCAGCCAAGUCGCGUGAGGGAUGAAGGUUCUAUGGAUCGUCAACCUCUUUUAUAAGGGAAUAAAGUGCGGGACGUGUCCCGUUUUGUAUGUACCUUAUGAAUAAGGAUCGGCUAACUCCGUGCCAGCAGCCGCGGUAAUACGGAGGAUCCGAGCGUUAUCCGGAUUUAUUGGGUUUAAAGGGUGCGUAGACGGCCUUUUAAGUCCGCGGUGAAAGUCUGUGGCUCAACCAUAGAAUUGCCGUUGAAACUGGGAGGCGUGAGUAUUGUUGAGGAAGGCGGAAUGCGUGGUGUAGCGGUGAAAUGCUUAGAUAUCACGCAGAACCCCGAUUGCGAAGGCAGCUUACCAAGCCAUGACUGACGUUGAUGCACGAAAGCGUGGGGAUCAAACAGGAUGAGAUACCCGAGUAGUC
rnacentral:rRNA from 1 species